rnacentral:ncRNA from 7 species
CUGAAGCUCAGAGGGCUCUGAUU